CUAAACCUGUGAGCCACAGAAGCAGCGAAAUUGAAAGAACGACAGUUAAAACAUAAUUUGCACUGGACAAAUCUCCAAUUCUUAACAGGAAAAAAAUAAGACUGGUGGCUGGUAGAGUGUGCUCAUGCAUUAGGUUACUUGAGGCUUAACCCUUGCUAUAUACAUGAAAGCCCCGAUUCUGCCUGGAGCUGCAUGAUUGUGAAUCUGAGAUGCCAAGAGAUGCUGCUUGUUGAUAUUUUCUGAUAUGCCCUGUCAGAUUCCACAAGAGCAAUGACUCUAGGGUCACUGGGAAAAUUGACAAUGACAAAGCAAUUCCUACAGUGGAUCUUCCAGGGGACAGAAAAGAGCCUGACUCCCCUAGUGCUUGUCACACACUGAAGUCUAAACUGGAUCAUCUGCCUUGCAUAUGACUUCAGAUCUGACACAGGGGCAUGAUAUCUUAAAAGAGAAGGAGAAGCAUCAGAAGCAGGAUGCUGCUUCCUGCCCAGGAGACAGAUCAGUGACUGAGAGCUGCAAUUCUGGAAAUCAAACAAACCCUGCCUUUGUUGAUCCCAACAGGCCCUGACUCAUAGAUGUCAGCAUCACUCUGCCUUGUCUCGAUCAGUAUGCAGUUGGUUCUGGUCAUACCUAGGUCUACUGAAUCCUAAGUAUGACCAGAACCAGACUGGUAAGAAGCCUCACUGCUGUUGCUUUUAUUAGCACUCCUUGCCCCUUCUUGAAGGACUGUGUGCAUUCAAAUGGAAUAUCGAAUAGGAACCAAUGAGGAGAGUGUUCUCAUUUCCAGCACUGAAGGCAAACAGUGUGGUUUCCUUGGAGAUCUUCAUAAGAGAUAGUGAUUCAUUUCUCCCUCCCUCCUUAAACUGUGCUACAGAAGGAGUGAAAGUGAAAGUAGAUGAAAGCAGAAAAGUGCAAUUUACCCUGGGUUCUGAUGGCAAUUUUCAAAAGGAAAGAAACCAGUAUGUGACUACCAGGGAUUGAUCAUAAACCUGCUUGUUUCAUCAAGCAUAAUUGUUAUGUUCAUGAAAGCUCCAUUUCUCCCUGGAGAUAGGUGAGUGCUUCGAGCCAGAAAGUAGCUUCUUUUUGGUGAAAAUUUUGACAUGCCAUGUGAAAUGGCCCAAAUACAAUGUAAAAUGCUCGAAUUUUAGUUUCCUCCUUUAAAUGUACAUGAGGUCUGAAAUAACAUGCUUCCAUUGUAAGUGGACAUUUUCACUUCAAGCCCUCCAGUACUGGGAAUCAAAUAAUACCUGCCUUUAAUGAUUGCCAAGGGAUCUGACUCCUGUGGAUGUCAUGAGCAGUCUGCCAUGUUUGGGGUUUCUCUGUGUAGCUAUGGAGCCUAUCCUGGCACUUGCUCUGAGGACCAGACUGGCAAUGAACUCACAGAGAUCCGUCCACCUCUGCCUCCCGAUUGCUUGGAUUAAAGACUUGUGCCACCAACGCCCGACAGCUUCCAGGUCCUUAAAGAGGACAACUAAUAGGCUCCCUUGGUUUUAGAGCUACAGUAAUCAAGAACCUGGAACUAUGCCUGUGGGAAAAUCUCCCUGCUCUUAUUCUGGAAGAGGAAUAUAGAAAUAGAAGGAUCUCUACCAAAACAUUCCUAUAUACCUAGACAUGUACAUCACUUGACCCACAUCUGAGAGUCUUCUACUUGUACUACAUAAGGAAUAACAUUGCAAUGCUCAGGUAACAGAAGACCAAUCUAUGAGCAUCAGUACAUAAUUGCUUUGCAACCAAGCUCAAGAAAGACCUGAUGUCAUGGACCUGAAUUGGAUCACAACAAAGAAAGAAUAGCUUGUAUAUGCCAAAAUACACAGGAAAUGUAAAAAAGAUUGGAAAAUUGAACAUGUGACCAUAUAUGGGAACAAGAAGAAAACAAGAAAAAUUUUUAUUCUACAAUUUAAGGCCCUGUCUCCUGAAGAUGUCAGCAGCAGUCUGCCUUGUCUGUGUCCUUGUACAGUCAGCCUCUGACUAUAUCCACGAUCCACUGAGUCCUGGAAUAUAGCCAGAGACUGACUGGUAAGUCCCUGCACUGGCAAUGUUUCUAUUAACACUCCUGGCCCCUGAUUGAAGGACUGUGUGUAUUCAACUUGGGCAAAGACCAAGAGCCAAUAAGGGGAGUGAUCUCAUUUCCAGCAAUGUAGACAUAUCAUAUAGUUGCUUUGGAGAUCUCCAUCAGUGUUGCUGACUCAUUUCUGUCUCCCACCUGAAGGUGUAUGACAGCUGAAACAUCUCAACUGAAAAUGGAUGCCAGAAAAAAAAAAUAGUUACCUUGACUCUGACUGCAGUCUUCAAAUGAAUGAGCCAAGCUGUGCAAAGCAGGUUGUUACCAUAUCACAGGAAUUUGUAUGUGAAUCCAGACCAGCUAAAAAAUGCCUCUGUUUUUACCUGAACUGAGUGUUUCCCUCCCCUACCACCCACCCCAACAAAAAUGCUACCUUUCACAGAUCCUCUCUGCUCCCCCUGGAUGGUGAAGCCUUCCAUAGGGGGUCAUCAGAGUCUAACAUAUCCUUUGGGAUAUGGCCUAGGCCACACCAUGUGGCUUGGCUCAGGGAGUAACACUCUAUGUUCCCUUGUCUCCACUUCCUCUCCAGCAUAAACUCUAAUUGAUGUUUUUGAUUUUAGCCAUUCUGACAGGUAUAAGAUGGGAUCUCAGAGUUAUUUUGAUUUGCACUUCCCUGAUGGCUAAGGAUGUUGAACCCAUGUUAUCUGUCUUUCAGCCAUUUUAGAUUCCUCUAUUGAAAAUUGUCUAUUUAGUUCUGUACCCCACUGUUUUAUUUGGAUUUUUUGGUGUUUUGAAGGCUAGCUUCUUGAGUUCUUUUGUAUUUUGGAGCUCAGCCUUCUGUCAGAUGUAGGGUUGGUGAAUGUGUUUUCCUUGUCUGUGGUGUGGUGUUUUGUCUUACUGAUUAUGUCCUUAGCCUUUCAGAAGUUUCAGGAGGUCCCAUUUAUCAAUUGUUGAUCUCAGUGUCUGUGUUACUGGUGUAAUGUUCAGCAAGCAGGCUCCUGUACCAAUUAAUUCAAGGGUAUUUCACACUUUGUCUUCUAAUAGGUUCAGUGUAGCUAUAUUUAUGUUGAGGUCUUCGUACUUAAUUUGGUGUGCCUGGCAAUAGACAUGGAUCUAUUUGCAGCCUUCUACAUUCUAGCAUCCGGUUAUGCCAGCGCCAUCUGUUGAAGAUGUUUUCUUUAGU
rnacentral:lncRNA from 1 species